CCUACGGGAGGCAGCAGUAAGGAAUAUUGGACAAUGGUGGCAACACUGAUCCAGCCAUGCCGCGUGCAGGAUGACGGUUCUAUGAAUUGUAAACUGCUUUUAUACGGGAAAAACCCUCAAGACGUGAUUUUGAGCUGAUUGUACCGUAAGAAUAAGGAUCGGCUAACUUCGUGCCAGCAGCCGCGGUAAGACGAAGGAUCCAAGCGUUAUCCGGAUUUAUUGGGUUUAAAGGGUGCGUAGGCGGACUCAUAAGUCAGUGGUGAAAUCCCAAAGCUUAACUUUGGAACUGCCAUUGAUACUGUAAGUCUUGAGUAUGUUUGAAGUGGGCGGAAUGUAUUGUGUAGCGGUGAAAUGCUUAGAUAUAAUACAGAACACCAAUUGCGAAGGCAGCUCACUAAACCAUAACUGACGCUGAGGCACGAAAGCAUGGGGAGCAAACAGGUAUUAGAUACCCUGGUAGUCCAUCACCUAACGAUAGAUACUCGUAUAUGUGUCGAUAUACUAGUACGUGUUACGUA
rnacentral:rRNA from 1 species